rnacentral:lncRNA from 1 species
UUGUGUUUAAAUAUUCUUUAGUAGCAAUUUAAAUAAGCCAACAGGCAAACAUAACUAGACACAGAGUAUUUAAAAAAAAAUAUUUUGUCAAAUAUUCCAGAAAAUAAAAAACUAUAAAUUCGGAUGUCUGCACAGAAGCAGAGGUUCCUCCUUUCCUCUCCGGCUACAACACCCAAAAUUUAUUCAAAGAAGAAAACCAGGAUGUCAGAACUAAGGAAAGAGUGCGAGUAGCAGUACACUGCUUAUGAAUGGACAGAACUGAUGGAAGGGAAAGGAAGGAACUAGUUAUUAACAUUCCAAACUCACAAAAAGAACAACAAAAAUCCCAAAUUAAAAAAUAAGGAAAAAACCUUAUCCCGUUGAGCAGUUUGAAGUGCCUCUACAAAUCAGCUGGACGCCUACUCCCAAUGAAACACCACCUCCCUCAUCCUCCUCCAUAAACUGAACAAAUGAAUAUUUAAUGUAUAUAUUGUUUGCUCAAGAGCUUAAAAUGAGUACUGCCAAGAACCAAACAAUUUCUAUUGACAAGAAUGUGAUAAUUAAAAAUGGUUAGAUUUAAUUUAUUAAACAAGAGAUCCAAUGAAGACUUUAAAGUAUAAUUGACAUUCUUGUGUAUCAUCCACGUAACUU